GCACAGAAUGAGAGAAGAUACGAGAUACAGCACAAAAGAAAAGAAAAAUGGAAAUACAGCACAACAGUUUCCGAGGAAUCUUUUUGU
rnacentral:ribozyme from 12 species